GACGUAGGGCGCAAGCGUUGUCCGGAUUUAUUGGGCGUAAAGAGCUCGUAGGCGGUGUGUCGCGUCGGCCGUGAAAACCUGCAGCUUAACUGUGGGCGUGCGGUCGAUACGGGCAUCACUGGAGUUCGGCAGGGGAGACUGGAAUUCCUGGUGUAGCGGUGAAAUGCGCAGAUAUCAGGAGGAACACCGGUGGCGAAGGCGGGUCUCUGGGCCGAUACUGACGCUGAGGAGCGAAAGCGUGGGGAGCGAACAGG
rnacentral:rRNA from 1 species